GAGUGUCUUCUCUCUAAGUCGUCGCUCUCGUCUCAUUUCUCACAGCUGUGGUGGCUCGUCCUCUUUCAGAGGUUGUUCAGAGUCAUUCUGUGGUUGACUCUCCAUCAUGAAGGUUUCUUUGCUGCUUCUCAUCACAGCCUCUGGAUGCAGCUGUAGGGCUAUUGUAGGUGAAACAGGUCAGAACAUCACUCUGCCCUGUAAAUAUAAUAUUAAAACUCACGGAGCUCUGUCAGUCUGCUGGAAUCGAGGAGAGAUCCCAUCUCAAGGUUGCGACAACAAACUCGUCUCCACUGAUGGAGUCAGAGUGAAUGAAGAGACCCGGAUCUCCAGCAGGUAUCAGCUGCUGGGAAAACUGGAACAAGGAGACAUUUCUCUGACGAUACUGAACAUCACCGAGGCCGACGCUGGACGAUACGGAUGCAGAGUUCGUCGACCGGGCCCGUUCAAUGAUGUCAAACAUCACUUUGACCUGUCUGUUGUUCCACGAACAACCAUAUCACCACCACCAUCAUCAUCACCAUCAUCAUCACCAUCAUCAUCAUCAUCAUCAUCAUCAUCAUCAUCAUCAUCAGGGUCUACAGCAGCCACUGAGACGACAGGUCACAUGACCUCCACAGACACACCUCUGACUGAGCAGGAAAGCAGGAGGCUCAUGGUCCUGAUAAGCAUUGUCUUCGGGUUGGUGUUCCUGGUCUUUGCAGUCUCGAAGCCAGACUAUGAGGGAGCCGUUACCACGGAGACGGCGGUGGCGGUGAUGCUGCCGUGUGGCUCUGAGGCGGUGGAGCAGCGAGGGGUGGAGGUGUGCUGCUCACGGUUCAGCUGCCAGACCACCGUCAUCUACAGGAAGCGCCACAGGAACACGUCCACUUCCUGAAGGCAGCAGAGCCCAGCAGGUGAGGAGUGGUCAGGACCCGUCACAGAGCAGCGACACGUUUCUCUCACUGGUUCCAUGGAGCUGAUGGUGGCUACAGUCCUGCUAAUAGUUCUUAGUUCAGUUCAUCCCUUUAUUAGAUGGUUCGAUUUUUAGAUUGGUAGAUCAGAUUGAUUCAUCUUUAUUGGCAGACUAUGUACCGCAGCCUUUAAGGUCAUGAAUAAUAAACCUCUUUUUAAAAAGUCCAAACAAUGUUACAAGUCAGUCGUGUGACCAUUUAUGGAAAAAUUCUGGUUCUUGUACUUUUCUUCAGUUUAUCAACUUAAACCGAGACACAGAUCUGCAUCUACAUUUUCAUUACAUAUUUAACUCUUUUGACAUAAACCAAUGUUUGUUCUGUUAUUGCUGUUUGCUUUUUCAUUGCUUUUAAUACACAUGCUAUGUGUUUGCCUUUUUAUGUUUUCUAUUUUAUUGUUGCACCAACCACCACAACAGAUUCCCAGUGUUCGGAAGAUCGUC